CCUACGGGAGGCAGCAGUGGGGAAUAUUGGGCAAUGGGCGCAAGCCUGACCCAGCAACGCCGCGUGAAGGAAGAAGGCUCUCGGGUUGUUAACUUCUUUUGACCGGGAAGAGCAGAAGACGGUACCUGUCGAAUAAGCCACGGCUAACUACGUGCCAGCAGCCGCGGUAAUACGUAGGUGGCAAGCGUUGUCCGGAUUUACUGGGUGUAAAGGGCGUGUAGCCGGGCUGACAAGGCAGAUGGGAAAUCCGGGGGCUCAAUCCCCGUACUGCAUUUGAAACUGGUGGUCUUGAGUAGCGGAGAGGCAUGCGGAAUUCCUAGUGUAGCGGUGAAAUGCGUAGAUAUUAGGAGGAACACCAGUGGCGAAGGCAGCCUACUGGACGACAACUGACGGUGAGGCACGAAAGCGUGGGGAGCAAACAGGAUUAGAUACCCCUGUAGUC
rnacentral:rRNA from 1 species